GACGUAGGGCGCGAGCGUUGUCCGGAUUUAUUGGGCGUAAAGGGCUCGUAGGCGGCCAACUAAGUCAGACGUGAAAUCCCUAGGCUCAACCUAGGAACUGCGUCUGAUACUGGAUGGCUUGAAUCCGGGAGAGGGAUGCAGAAUUCCAGGUGUAGCGGUGAAAUGCGCAGAUAUCAGGAGGAACACCAAUGGCGAAGGCAGCUCGCUGGGACGUGACUGACGCUGAGACGCGAAAGCGUGGGGAGCAAACAGG
rnacentral:rRNA from 1 species